GUUAUACUUAGGAGUCAGACUACGAGUGAUAAGAUCCGUGGUCAAGAGGGAAACAGCCCAGACCAUCAGCUAAGGUCCCCAAUGCCGUGCUAAGUGGGAAAGGAUGUAGCAUUUCACAAACAACCAGGAUGUUGGCUUAGAAGCAGCCAUCAUUAAAAGAGUGCGUAAUAGCUCACUGGUCGAGAGACGCUGCGCCGAAAAUACCCGGGGCUCAAGCACGGAACCGAAGCUAUGGCAUGCGUAAGCAUGGGUAGGGGAGCGUUCUGCAUAGGUAGAAGCAUGACCGUAAGGACAUGUGGACAGUGCAGAAGUGAGAAUGCCGGUAUGAGUAUCGAAAAGAAUGGUGAGAAUCCAUUCCACCGAAAGCCUAAGGGUUCCUGAGCAACGAUCGUCGGCUCAGGGUAAGUCGGGACCUAAGCCGAGGCGAAGACGCAUAGGCGAUGGACAACAGGUUGAAAUUCCUGUACUGACGUUAUUUGUUUGAGCAAUGGAGUGACACAGGAAGGUACAGCAGCACGCGACUGGAAGAGCGUGUCUAAGCGCGUACGUUGGUAACGAGGCAAAUCCCGUUACCUGAAAGCGGAGGCGUGAUGGGGAGACAUUGGAAACAAUGGGGAACUGCUGGAUCCUCGACUGUCGAGAAAAGCUUCUAGUGAGAAUGAUGUCACCCGUACCAAAACCGACACAGGUAGGCGAGAAGAGAAUUCUAAGGUGCGCGGGAAAACCCUACGUUAAGGAACUCGGCAAAAUGCAUCCGUAACUUCGGGAAAAUGAUGACCUUCGGUACGUAACGACCAGCAACGGUUUUAGCGGAAGAAGGUGACACAAGAGAGGCCCAAGCGACUGUUUACCAAAAACACAGGUGCCUGCGAAAGCGAAAGCUGAAGUAUAGGUGCUGACGCCUGCCCGGUGCUGGAAGGUUAAGAGGAGAGGUUAGCGUAAGCGAAGCUUUGAAUUGAAGCCCCAGUAAACGGCGGCCGUAACUAUAACGGUCCUAAGGUAGCGAAAUUCCUUGUCGGGUAAGUUCCGACCCGCACGAAAGGCGUAACGA
rnacentral:rRNA from 1 species